rnacentral:rRNA from 1 species
GACGAACGCUGGCGGCGUGCUUAACACAUGCAAGUCGAACGGAAAGGCCCUGCUCUUGUGGGGUGCUCGAGUGGCGAACGGGUGAGUAACACGUGAGUAACCUGCCCUUGACUUUGGGAUAACUUCAGGAAACUGGGGCUAAUACCGGAUAGGAGCUCCUGCUGCAUGGUGGGGGUUGGAAAGUUUCGGCGGUUGGGGCUGUACUCGCGGCUUAUCAGCUUGCUGGUGGGGUAGUGGCUUACCAAGGCUUUGACGGGUAGCCGGCCUGCGAGGGUGACCGGCCACAUGAGGACUGAGAUACGGCCCGGACUGGUACGGGGGGCAGCGGUGGGAAAUAUUGCACAAUGGGCGGAAGCCUGGUGCAACAACGCCGCGUGCGGGAUGACGGCCUUCGGGUUGUGAACCGCUUUCGCCUGUGACGAAGCGUGAGUGACGGUAAUGGGUAAAGAAGCACCGGCUAACUACGUG